GCACCUGAAUCUUUCCCUUGCCUGGCAGAACAAGUGCGGGCAUGGGGACACAUGGUGCUAAAGCAAAGCAGAGGAUAUCCAGAUGAGUCCCCUUCCUUUCUUUUUGAGGGCUUGUCUCUACACCUUGGCAACAUUU